rfam:Haemonchus contortus, ISE/inbred ISE, WGS project CAVP01000000 data, contig: Hcontortus_39344
GUCUCGGUAGUGUCAGGGGUAAGAGCACGGUCCUCGUAAAGGACAGGUACGGGUUCGAGUCCCGUCCAAGACU